rnacentral:rRNA from 1 species
GGUUAAGCGACUAAGCGUACACGGUGGAUGCCCUGGCAGUCAGAGGCGAUGAAGGACGUGCUAAUCUGCGAUAAGCGUCGGUAAGGUGAUAUGAACCGUUAUAACCGGCGAUUUCCGAAUGGGGAAACCCAGUGUGAUUCGUCACACUAUCAUUAACUGAAUCCAUAGGUUAAUGAGGCGAACCGGGGGAACUGAAACAUCUAAGUACCCCGAGGAAAAGAAAUCAACCGAGAUUCCCCCAGUAGCGGCGAGCGAACGGGGAGCAGCCCAGAGCCUGAAUCAGUGUGUGUGUUAGUGGAAGCGUCUGGAAAGGCGCGCGAUACAGGGUGACAGCCCCGUACACAAAAAUGCACAUGCUGUGAGCUCGAUGAGUAGGGCGGGACACGUGGUAUCCUGUCUGAAUAUGGGGGGACCAUCCUCCAAGGCUAAAUACUCCUGACUGACCGAUAGUGAACCAGUACCGUGAGGGAAAGGCGAAAAGAACCCCGGCGAGGGGAGUGAAAAAGAACCUGAAACCGUGUACGUACAAGCAGUGGGAGCACAGAGCAAUCUGUGUGACUGCGUACCUUUUGUAUAAUGGGUCAGCGACUUAUAUUCUGUAGCAAGGUUAACCGAAUAGGGGAGCCGAAGGGAAACCGAGUCUUAACUGGGCGUUAAGUUGCAGGGUAUAGACCCGAAACCCGGUGAUCUAGCCAUGGGCAGGUUGAAGGUUGGGUAACACUAACUGGAGGACCGAACCGACUAAUGUUGAAAAAUUAGCGGAUGACUUGUGGCUGGGGGUGAAAGGCCAAUCAAACCGGGAGAUAGCUGGUUCUCCCCGAAAGCUAUUUAGGUAGCGCCUCGUGAAUUCAUCUCCGGGGGUAGAGCACUGUUUCGGCAAGGGGGUCAUCCCGACUUACCAACCCGAUGCAAACUGCGAAUACCGGAGAAUGUUAUCACGGGAGACACACGGCGGGUGCUAACGUCCGUCGUGAAGAGGGAAACAACCCAGACCGCCAGCUAAGGUCCCAAAGUCAUGGUUAAGUGGGAAACGAUGUGGGAAGGCCCAGACAGCCAGGAUGUUGGCUUAGAAGCAGCCAUCAUUUAAAGAAAGCGUAAUAGCUCACUGGUCGAGUCGGCCUGCGCGGAAGAUGUAACGGGGCUAAACCAUGCACCGAAGCUGCGGCAGCGACGCUUAUGCGUUGUUGGGUAGGGGAGCGUUCUGUAAGCCUGUGAAGGUGUGCUGUGAGGCAUGCUGGAGGUAUCAGAAGUGCGAAUGCUGACAUAAGUAACGAUAAAGCGGGUGAAAAGCCCGCUCGCCGGAAGACCAAGGGUUCCUGUCCAACGUUAAUCGGGGCAGGGUGAGUCGACCCCUAAGGCGAGGCCGAAAGGCGUAGUCGAUGGGAAACAGGUUAAUAUUCCUGUACUUGGUGUUACUGCGAAGGGGGGACGGAGAAGGCUAUGUUGGCCGGGCGACGGUUGUCCCGGUUUAAGCGUGUAGGCUGGUUUUCCAGGCAAAUCCGGAAAAUCAAGGCUGAGGCGUGAUGACGAGGCACUACGGUGCUGAAGCAACAAAUGCCCUGCUUCCAGGAAAAGCCUCUAAGCAUCAGGUAACAUCAAAUCGUACCCCAAACCGACACAGGUGGUCAGGUAGAGAAUACCAAGGCGCUUGAGAGAACUCGGGUGAAGGAACUAGGCAAAAUGGUGCCGUAACUUCGGGAGAAGGCACGCUGAUAUAUAGGUGAAGUCCCUCGCGGAUGGAGCUGAAAUCAGUCGAAGAUACCAGCUGGCUGCAACUGUUUAUUAAAAACACAGCACUGUGCAAACACGAAAGUGGACGUAUACGGUGUGACGCCUGCCCGGUGCCGGAAGGUUAAUUGAUGGGGUUAGCGGUAACGCGAAGCUCUUGAUCGAAGCCCCGGUAAACGGCGGCCGUAACUAUAACGGUCCUAAGGUAGCGAAAUUCCUUGUCGGGUAAGUUCCGACCUGCACGAAUGGCGUAAUGAUGGCCAGGCUGUCUCCACCCGAGACUCAGUGAAAUUGAACUCGCUGUGAAGAUGCAGUGUACCCGCGGCAAGACGGAAAGACCCCGUGAACCUUUACUAUAGCUUGACACUGAACAUUGAGCCUUGAUGUGUAGGAUAGGUGGGAGGCUUUGAAGUGUGGACGCCAGUCUGCAUGGAGCCGGCCUUGAAAUACCACCCUUUAAUGUUUGAUGUUCUAACGUUGGCCCCUGAUCGGGGUUGCGGACAGUGUCUGGUGGGUAGUUUGACUGGGGCGGUCUCCUCCUAAAGAGUAACGGAGGAGCACGAAGGUUGGCUAAUCCUGGUCGGACAUCAGGAGGUUAGUGCAAUGGCAUAAGCCAGCUUGACUGCGAGCGUGACGGCGCGAGCAGGUGCGAAAGCAGGUCAUAGUGAUCCGGUGGUUCUGAAUGGAAGGGCCAUCGCUCAACGGAUAAAAGGUACUCCGGGGAUAACAGGCUGAUACCGCCCAAGAGUUCAUAUCGACGGCGGUGUUUGGCACCUCGAUGUCGGCUCAUCACAUCCUGGGGCUGAAGUAGGUCCCAAGGGUAUGGCUGUUCGCCAUUUAAAGUGGUACGCGAGCUGGGUUUAGAACGUCGUGAGACAGUUCGGUCCCUAUCUGCCGUGGGCGCUGGAGAACUGAGGGGGGCUGCUCCUAGUACGAGAGGACCGGAGUGGACGCAUCACUGGUGUUCGGGUUGUCAUGCCAAUGGCACUGCCCGGUAGCUAAAUGCGGAAGAGAUAAGUGCUGAAAGCAUCUAAGCACGAAACUUGCCCCGAGAUGAGUUCUCCCUGACUCCUUGAGAGUCCUGAAGGAACGUUGAAGACGACGACGUUGAUAGGCCGGGUGUGUAAGCGCAGCGAUGCGUUGAGCUAACCGGUACUAAUGAACCGUGAGGCUUAACCUU